rnacentral:rRNA from 1 species
GUGGAUUAGUGGCGAACGGGUGAGUAACACGUGAGCAACCUGCCCUGGACUCUGGGAUAAGCGCUGGAAACGGCGUCUAAUACUGGAUACGAGACGUGGCCGCAUGGUCAACGUUUGGAAAGAUUUUUCGGUCUGGGAUGGGCUCGCGGCCUAUCAGCUUGUUGGUGAGGUAAUGGCUCACCAAGGCGUCGACGGGUAGCCGGCCUGAGAGGGUGACCGGCCACACUGGGACUGAGACACGGCCCAGACUCCUACGGGAGGCAGCAGUGGGGAAUAUUGCACAAUGGGCGCAAGCCUGAUGCAGCAACGCCGCGUGAGGGAUGACGGCCUUCGGGUUGUAAACCUCUUUUAGCAGGGAAGAAGCGAGAGUGACGGUACCUGCAGAAAAAGCGCCGGCUAACUACGUGCCAGCAGCCGCGGUAAUACGUAGGGCGCAAGCGUUAUCCGGAAUUAUUGGGCGUAAAGAGCUCGUAGGCGGUUUGUCGCGUCUGCUGUGAAAUCCCGAGGCUCAACCUCGGGCCUGCAGUGGGUACGGGCAGACUAGAGUGCGGUAGGGGAGAUUGGAAUUCCUGGUGUAGCGGUGGAAUGCGCAGAUAUCAGGAGGAACACCGAUGGCGAAGGCAGAUCUCUGGGCCGUAACUGACGCUGAGGAGCGAAAGGGUGGGGAGCAAACAGGCUUAGAUACCCUGGUAGUCCACCCCGUAAACGUUGGGAACUAGUUGUGGGGUCCUUUCCACGGAUUCCGUGACGCAGCUAACGCAUUAAGUU